AUAAAAGGACGUGCUCUCCAAUUUGCGAAUACCAACUUUGCUCCGCUGUUCAUCUUUUGAGAGGUAAUUAUUUUUUUAGCGUUUUCUUUCGGUGCCUUAUUUCUUAUCCCUUUUUUUUUGUAGAUCAAAAUGACAAGUUCUUGUUGAAGGGAACAAUUCAUAAAUGAAGAAGGUGUAAAGGCGCAAAGGGAUGGAUACUCGUCCGCGCCUUAAGAGCGAUAAGAUUUGGUGAAUUUGAAACUUCAUCUUGAAGAUUUGGAGGAUUUAUAGACUUCAACUUGACGACAUGGUUGAUUUGAGACUUCAACCUGCCGUCUUGGCGGAUUUGAGGACCUUAGCAUGCUGAUGUGAUGGAUUUAAAACUUCACCUUAAAGAUUUGGAGGAGUGAAGACUUCAAAUUGCAGACUUGGCAGAUUUGAUACUUUCAGCCCGCAGACUUGGUAGAUUUGAAACAUCAACUUGAAGAUUCAGAGGAAUUGAAGACUUUAAAUUGCAGACUUGGUAGAUUUGAGAAUUUCAGCCCCCAGACUUGGAGCCGUGCACAGUUUAUACUCUUGCGGGCCAGGAGUAAUAUGCAGUUUAUGGUCGUACGUCAAGGAGCAUCAUCUUGCUUCAAGGAUAGUACUUCUUCAAGAACUUUGCGUUGAUAGGACCGAUCCUCAGGCCAUCCGCAUCAACAAACUUGUAAGUGCCACUUGAAUAUGCUUCUUGUACGACAUAUGGUCCAUCCCAUUUUGAGGUGAAUUUGCCCCCAGACUUAUGGGAAACGAUAAUGAUUCUUCUUACUACAAGGACUUGAUCUCCCACUUGGAAGGACCUUAAGCGAACCUUUUUAUUGAAGGCACGAGAUAGACGAGCUUGAUAACAUUCAAGAUUUUGUUGAGCCUCCAGCCUUUUCUCAUCAAGUGCUUCUAACUUUGCAAGAUGCAAUCGAGCAUUUUCUUUUCAGAUAGCCCUUCUUGAAUAGCAAGUCGUAAAGAAGGUAUUUGGCGCUCAAGUGGUAGAACUGCUUCAACUCCAUAAGCAAGCGAGUAUGGGGUUUCUUGCGUUGGUGAACGGUAAGUCGUCUUAUAUGCCCACAAAGCUUUUUCCAUUCGUUUAUGCCAAUCUCGUUUUGACUUGGAGACAACCUUUUUCAACAAGUUACACAAAGUCUUAUUGAACGCUUCAGCUAGACCGUUAGCCAUAGCAUGAUACAUAGAAGAUUUACGCUGCUUGAAACCGAAGAGAUCACAAAUCAUGUUCAUCAAUUUGUUAUCAAAUGGCUUCCCAUUGUUCGUUAUUAUGCAAUGAGGAAUGCCGAAGCGGUAGAUGAUAUUUACUCGGAUGAAGUUCGCAACAUUCUCCUUCUUCACUUAUUUAAGAGCAACAGCUUCGGCCCAUUUUGAGAAGUAAUCGGUUGCAACCAAGAUGUAUAAGUGUCCACCAGAAGAUUUCGGCAACAGACCAACGACGUCCAACCCCCAAGCAUCAAAUGGCCAAGAUGCGAUGGUGGGGUUUAAUGCUUCGGGCGGCUAAUGUAUAAAAUUCGCAUGAAACUGACAAGCCUUGCAUCUUCAAGCAUAAUCCAAGCAAUCUUUGACCAUCAUUGGCCAAUAAUAUCCCAUCCUUUUUAUGUGAAAGUGGAGCUUUGGUCCAGAUUGAUGUGAUCCACAUACUCCUAAAUCUGCUUCUUGCAAAGCUUGGACUGCUUCAUCCUCCCACAAACAUCGCAAGAGUACUCGCUCAAAAGAUCUUCUAAAUAAAGUAUCCUUGUGGUAAAGGAAUCGAGGUGCACAAUGACGAAUUUCAGUUCUUCUUCUUGUGUAUUCUUGGAGUUUCAAAAUGCAGUACCAAAAAAUCAUUGGCUAGCAUAAAGUGCACUACAAAAACAAUCUAAGAACUAUUGGUACAAUAAGAAGUUGUUGCAUGCAUUAUCGUGUAGAUAUUGGGACUGGGAAGACGAAAAAUGUCCAGAAAGAAUUAUCCAGUUCAUCAACAAAUUGACAAAAAAAGAUAUUAUCAUUAGUAAAACAAAUCUUUUGAAAAGGUAAAACGGUACUCUUGUUUGUGAAAAUAAUCUUUAAAGGAUGGUUGUAAUUGCAUUUGAUCUUUUAGUUGUAUAAUUUAGAUGUAAUGUAAUGGUGGAGGCAUGAAUUGUAAAUGUUUUUUAUGUUUUCGAAUGCAGUGAUAUU